rnacentral:rRNA from 1 species
UGGGGAAUAUUGCACAAUGGGCGAAAGCCUGAUGCAGCGACGCCGCGUGAGGGAUGACGGCCUUCGGGUUGUAAACCUCUUUCAGUAGGGACGAAGCGCAAGUGACGGUACCUGCAGAAGAAGCACCGGCUAACUACGUGCCAGCAGCCGCGGUAAUACGUAGGGUGCGAGCGUUGUCCGGAAAUACUGGGCGUAAAGAGCUCGUAGGCGGUUUGUCACGUCGUCUGUGAAAUCAUAGGGCUUAACCCUGGACGUGCAGGCGAUACGGGCUGACGUGAGUACUACAGGGGAGACUGGAAUUUCUGGUGUAGCGGUGGAAUGCACAGAUAUCAGGAAGAACACCGAUGGCGAAGGCAGGUCUCUGGGUAGUAACUGACGCUGAGGAGCGAAAGCAUGGGUAGCGAACAGG